rnacentral:lncRNA from 12 species
CCAGAUUAUUUUGUAGUUAAAAUAGGAUGUUCCAUUCAACUGCGGGUCACUAAUGUGUGUUGACAUAAAGUAAGUUUUUUUAAAAAAAUAAGACAAAUCAGAUAUAGUUACGUUUAGUGAAGCUUAGGAGUCACUGAGCUCCUAGUCUUAGGAUUGAAAAUAAACCUCUUACUAGCAAAGAAGUGGCCAACGUUUUUCUUCUCUUAGGAGACAUCUAAAUAUUUUAUCUGGGGUAAGCAUUUCUUUAGUAGCGUGCCCAAGUAGUGCACUGGGUGCCUAUGAAUUAAGCACAAAUGGUGUUGGCCUAAAGCUAGGGAUAAAAUCAGGGGGGGAGUACACUAUUCAUGAGCACACAUCUAAAACCAAUACAAUUUGAAUAUUUCAUUUCUUAACCCUGUUUGGAGUAUAGUACACCUCAAACCCAAAUAAAACAAACUCAAUUCUAUGAAUCGUUACAGAAAGCUGGAUAUACCCCAUAAGAUUGCCACCCAGGUGUGGGCAAACUGACACCAAAGGGAUUUUCAGCGAUUCCAGGGGAAGUGUGUGAGAAACACUAGAGAGAAAUACAACACAGGAUUUACAGUGGUUUGGUUGUGAUCAUUACUUUUCUUCCAACGUCUCUGUGUUUUCCUGAGAGACUAUCACUUACGUUUACUGUUUUUUUGUUUUUUUUUUACAAUUAAAAGAGCCACAAGAAGAAGUUGAAUUUGCAAUGUAUAAAGUCAAGAACUGAAUGGAGUCCAUGUUGAUUUACCUUUACUCCUACCUUGGCUUUCGUGGACUAUAUUACACACAGGUGUACAUAAGAUCCCUCCUCCAGUUAUGCACACACGGGCACACACGCACCAGCAUGGAGACUGACCUCCUCUUGGUAUCUUGGAAACAUCCUCCAACAUUGCUGUUCUGUUAUCAGUGAAACGGUGCCAUUCGGCUGGGGUCACAUCCAUCUGCGUGUAGUGACUAAAACUCCACGUCCCAUCUGGAACUGCCUGUCUGGAGAUCCUGGGCAGAUCGUGGUCGCAUGUGUAGUCAGACGACAAGGCAGGGCUCUCUGCCCAUUCCUCACACUUAACGACCCGAUUUGGUUUCUCAAGAUCCUGCUGCUAAAUGAAAAG